UUUAAAACGUUUUAGAUAUGUAAUAUGAACAUCAUUUUAAAGUUUUUGGUGCAUUGAUCAAUUGUGUGAGCAGAUUUUGAAUUUGUGGUAACAAAAGCUUAGCUACGGUAAUCAUUUGCGUUUUUCUUUUAGUUUAAUUUGUUGUGAAACUUUGGUAAUGUGAAUGUUCUACAAAUUGUAUUUUAAUUUAAUUUUAAAAUGUGUUAUCUGCAUUCAUUUCUCUUAAUAGAUGAGGAGGAGGAAGUGAAAACUAAAAAGAGUAAGGUAGCAAAGUUCUUCAAAGCUACCACAAAACUCUUUGGGAUGUCCUGCUUUCGUCAGGCUGAGGAGCAGCUCUCUGACUCUGAAGGCUCUGAUGCAGAUGACUUUCUGUGCCAAUCCCAGUCUGAUCAGAGUCUGGAGGUUGCUCCGGACAUCGUUCAUGAAGUGAGCUGUGUGAUGGACGACCUAAAGGUGGACGAGACAAAUGACUUGACACUCAACGUAGAGUACGUCAAAAAAGAGGAGGAGGAGGAGAUGAGAAUGAAUGAUGAGAAGAACACAGAGGAGGACAAGAUCAAAAAGAGAAAGAGGAGGAGGAGGAAUAGGAUGAAAGAGGAGAAUGAGAUGAAGAUGAAAGAGGAGAGGUUGACAGAAAAUGAAGAGAAGGAGAAGAAUGAGGAGAUGGUGAAGAUGAACAAGGAAAGAAUGAAAGAAAAUGAAGAGAAAGAGGAGAAGAAUGAGGAGAUGGUGAAGAUGAACAAGGAAAGAAUGAAAGAAAAUGAAGAGAAGGAGAAGAAGAAUGAGGAGAUGGUGAAGAUGAACAAGGACAGAAUGAAAGAAAAUGAAGAGAAAGAGGAGAAGAAUGAGGAGAUGGUGAAGAUGAACAAGGACAGAAUGAAAGAAAAUGAAGAGAAGGAGGAGAAGAAUAAGGAGAUGGUGAUAAAAGAGGAGAUGAUAACAGACAAUGAUGAGGUGGAGGAGGAGAAUGAGGAAGAGAGGGAAAAGACAAAGGAGAAAGAGAAGAGAAAGGGAACAAAGAAAAGAAACAGCAAGAUAAUCAGACGAAUGAUGAGGAGGAGAAGCAAGAGAAGGAGAAUGAGGAGAGUUUGAAUCAAAAUAAUAAUUGAAAAUAAAAAAAUAAAAAAACUGGAUGGACAAUUCUUAAUUUAUGGUCUAAAAUAUUAAUAUGCAAAAAAAUUGCAUGUCAAAAGAGUGCAUGAACUGCUCUAUCUUUCUGGCCUAUAGUUAAUGUGCACAAAUAGUUGUACACAAAAGGGCAAGCACAACACAAGCUCUACUGAAAAAAGAAAACACUAAGGGCACAUUAACUUGAUCAAAACAGUAAUAAAAGUGAAUUAAUCAAUGAGGACAUGAAGAGCACACUGUUAACAAUUUCCUGUAGAAUCUACAAUAACUCACUGGCAGCAGUUCAACAGUAAUUUACUGCAAAUCAGCAAGAAUACUGAUAUUUAUCUGCAAUACGUGUAUCUAUAGUAUUGUAUUUCUUUACUGUAAAAUCUACAGUCAU
rnacentral:lncRNA from 1 species